rnacentral:rRNA from 1 species
CAAUAGCGUAUAUUAAAGUUGUUGCGGUUAAAAGCUCGUAGUUGGAUUUCUGCCGAGGACGACCGGUCCGCCCUCUGGGUGAGUAUCUGGCUCGGCCUGGGCAUCUUAUUGGAGAACGUAUCUGCACUUGACUGUGUGGUGCGGUAUCCAGUACUUUUACUUUGAGGAAAUUAGAGUGUUUCAAGCAGGCACACGCCUUGAAUACAUUAGCAUGGAAUAAUAAGAUAGGACCUCGGUUCUAUUUUGUUGGUUUCUAGAGCUGAGGUAAUGAUUAAUAGGGACAGUUGGGGGCGAUUCGUACUUGACAGUCAGAGGUGAAAUCUUCGUAUUGUUCUAAAGAACGAACUAAAUAGCGAAGGACGAUCUGCCAACGGAAGUGUUUUCUAUUGUAUCAAGAACGAAAGAACAGGGGAGUCAAAG